rnacentral:rRNA from 1 species
GACGAACGCUGGCGGCGUGCUUAACACAUGCAAGUCGAACGGUGACCCUCGGAGCUUGCUUCGGGGCGAGCAGUGGCGAACGGGUGAGUAACACGUGAGUAACCUGCCCCUGACUCUGGAAUAAGCGCUGGAAACGGCGUCUAAUACCGGAUACGACACGCCUCCGCAUGGGGAGCGUGUGGAAAGUUUUUCGGUCUGGGAUGGACUCGCGGCCUAUCAGCUUGUUGGUGAGGUAAUGGCUCACCAAGGCGAUGACGGGUAGCCGGCCUGAGAGGGCGACCGGCCACACUGGGACUGAGACACGGCCCAGACUCCUACGGGAGGCAGCAGUGGGGAAUAUUGCACAAUGGGCGAAAGCCUGAUGCAGCGACGCCGCGUGAGGGAUGACGGCCUUCGGGUUGUAAACCUCUUUCAGCAGGGAAGAAGCGAAAGUGACGGUACCUGCAGAAGAAGCUCCGGCUAACUACGUGUCAGCCGCCGCAGUAACAC